rnacentral:rRNA from 1 species
UACGUAGGCAGCAAGCGUUGUUCGGAAUUACUGGGCGUAAAGAGUGUGUAGGCGGUGUUCUAAGUUUGUCGUGAAAUCUCCCGGCUUAACUGGGAGGGUGCGGCGAAAACUGGAAUGCUAGAGGAUGGGAGAGGUAAGCGGAAUUCCUGGUGUAGCGGUGAAAUGCGUAGAUAUCUGGAGGAACACCGGUGGCGAAGGCGCCCACCUGGCCUGCUACUGACGCUGAAGCUCGAAAGCUAGGGGAGCAAACGGG